rnacentral:misc_RNA from 1 species
AUGGAUUGAUGGAGUUAAAAGUGGUAAAAUGAAGUUCUCUUUUCAAUUUUGAUUUAUUUAUGCUUCUUGUUAUUUCUAGUUCUUGGCUUUAGUUUAGCUCUGCUUGUUCUGCCAAUCCUGUGUACGCGAGCCUUUUGCUUUAAUAGUCGAGGUUGAUAACUUGAUUUUGUGUUUUGAGGAGAACUGGAAGUAUAUUUAGAGUUAUGUAGUCGCAUUGACAAUUCUAAUCUGGUGUGUUAAUCUAAAUGAGCCAUUGUUAUUGGCAUCAAAUCUCGUUAAUUGAAAAUAAAUCUUCAGUGACAAAGUGUUUUUAUUUACUGCUGAGACUAUUUAGUAGGUGUGGUAUUCUCUUGUCUUAAUAGUGUUGCUGUUUUUUUUUUUUUUUAAUUAAUUACAAAGGUAGGGGAGGGAGGAGUCGAACCUGGGUUUUCCAGUUCAACAUGUAUGCAACUAUCACCACUGCCUCUUGUCUUAACAGUUAAUUUAUCUUUGGUAGUCAAAAUAAAUUUCUUAUUUUUCAAUAUCUUGGCUUGGAUUGCGAUCUUCUGGGUUCUUUGAUUUUUGAAUUUUCCAUGUGCUUUUGUAGAUUGUCAUAUUGUGAAUUUUGUUGCUAUGCACAUAAACUUUGCUAAUAGAAAUCUGUACAUGCUGUUGUUGUUUCAAUGAUUUGUUAUAUUCUCUCUGGAAUUUGCAGGCUAUGGCAAAUUUCAUGUCUCG